rnacentral:rRNA from 1 species
AGAGUUUGAUCAUGGCUCAGAAUGAACGUUGGCGGCGUGGAUUAGGCAUGCAAGUCGCACGCUUUAUGUAGCAAUACAUGAAGAGUGGCGUAAGGGAGAGUAAUGCAUGGUUAGCUACCCUCGGGACUGGGAUAGCGGCGGGAAACUGCCGGUAAUACCAGAUGACAUCUUCGGAUCAAACGUGUAAAUCGGCCCGAGGAGGCGACCAUGUCCUAUCAGCUAGUUGGCGGUGUAACGGACCACCAAGGCUAAGACGGGUAUGGGGCGUGAGAGCGUGCCCCCACUCACUGGGACUGAGACACUGCCCAGACACCUACGGGUGGCUGCAGUCGAGAAUCUUCGGCAAUGGGCGCAAGCCUGACCGAGCGACGCCGCGUGCGGGAUGAAGGCCUUCGGGUUGUAAACCGCUGUCGUAGGGGAGGAAGGUCUGGUGUAUAGCCAGGCUUGACCGAUCCUAGGAGGAAGGGCCGGCUAAUCUCGUGCCAGCAGCCGCGGUAAUACGAGAGGCCCAAACGUUAUUCGGAAUUACUGGGCUUAAAGAGUUCGUAGGCGGUAUGACAAGUAGGGUGUGAAAGCCCUCGGCUUAACCGAGGAAUUGCGCUCUAAACUGUCGUACUUGAGGAAGCUAGAGGUGAGCAGAACUGAUGGUGGAGCGGUGAAAUGCGUUGAUAUCAUCAGGAAUACCGGAGGCGAAGGCGGCUCACUGGGGCUUUUCUGACGCUGAGGAACGAAAGCCAGGGUAGCGAACGGGAUUAGAUACCCCCGUAGUCC